rnacentral:lncRNA from 1 species
GUCAUUUCUCUCCAUAUGCUCAUCUGCAUGGUGAAAUAUAUUCGAAUAUAUGAUACUGUUUAAGCCAAAAAUAAGAAUAAAUAUAUAUUAAUCAUUAAAAUAUUUAUGAUAGAUAUGUGGACAGGUAAAUUGGCGCAAAUGAGUUCCGAAUAUUGGCGCAAUUGAUACAUUUGGAAAACAAAAUUUGGUGCAAAUGAUACCCCUGAAAUACAGUAAUUGGCGCA